rnacentral:rRNA from 1 species
UACAGAGGGGGCAAGCGUUGUUCGGAAUUACUGGGCGUAAAGGGCGCGUAGGCGGCCUGUUAAGUCGAACGUGAAAUCCCCCGGGCUCAACCCGGGAACUGCGUCCGAUACUGGCAGGCUUGAAUCCGGGAGAGGGAUGCGGAAUUCCAGGUGUAGCGGUGAAAUGCGUAGAUAUCUGGAGGAACACCGGUGGCGAAGGCGGCAUCCUGGACCGGUAUUGACGCUGAUGCGCGAAAGCCAGGGGAGCAAACGGG